CAUGCAUGCCACCAACCUGAGCGUGAUAGAAGUGCAUGUGCUGGGUAAAACUGCAGUGCUUGUCAACUAGAAAGCAGAAUCUUCUUUUUUCUUCAAGUAGAGCUUCUCUACAGCCUUCUGCAAUGAAUCUCUGAAUGUCAGUCUGUCGAGAGCUCACGGUUUCCAAAUACUAAGGGAAAAAGGUAAAUAAUUCACAUACAGUCUGUGAGUUUUAUUUGAUACUCUCUCCAGUUACUGAAGCGUGUUCCAAAAAGACAAGAAAAAGAAAAAAAGUUAUCAGAAAGGUGGGGUGGAGUGGCUCUGCUUCCAAGUCAUUCUCUUUUUAUGCACACAUCUGACUUCUCCAAUCUCAUCAGACACACAUGUAUUCUAUUACAGGCAAUCAGUAUUGGGGUGUGAAGCACCAGAGGAGAUUCAGAAGUCGGGAGGAAUUCUGUCAUGGUGGCUGGGCCUCCCUGGACCAUCUGCACAGCCAUCAAGACCCAUCCCUCCAUGGUGUACGUUGGGGUUCUGGUAACCCUGUGCCUGGGGCAUCUCCAUUAUGAAGAAAGGAUGGCAGACCUGGGGCAGUUCAGCCUGGAGAAGAGAGGACUGAAGGAUGUACCUGGGGGAGGAGAUGGUGAAGAAAAACUGAUUGCUUAGCAUCAGCUGAAUGGCUGCAUGCCUGCCCAGCCUCACCAGCAGUGAUGGCAUUGUGUUUGGGGGGUUGCAAUGACACGCACUGUUUGGAUGUGCUGUAUGAAAACCCAGAGCCAUCGCACACAGGUGGGCAUUGAGGGCAGCAGUACAGACACGUGUGCCCGUCUCAGGCUGCAGAAGGCCAUGCAGCACGAGGCACAGCGAGAACCUGAACAGCUGAUCUAUCAGUGAACACACGGAGCUUCCAAUGGCUCUGCGACAGACGGUGGGGCAACGUAUGAACUACAGAGAAGCUCAUGCUUAAGAAUGAAAGACUGAAGAGUUCCAGAGAGCUUUCCACCGCGUGUGAAAUACACAGACACGGCACAGAAGUUUUGAAUAUCUGGAAUAUCCAGAUUUCCAUUUCCUUCUCGCCUCCUUCUUCUGCACCAAUCUCACUCUACGGAAGAAAGCACUUGUUGUUACUGCUGGUAACAGGGAGACCAUGUUCUGUGUUUCCUUAUGAGAAGGAAGGACUGGUGGUGGUUUCGAUACGCAUCUUUACGUAGCGCUGGCAGUAAGCCUACUGUAGGUCACCCAGCAGGUUUGGGUUUGAACUUUAGAAUGUCUGGAAAUGACCUUCCAGCAAGCACUAUUCAUAAAUUACAAAGAUUACUGUAUUUUAGCCAUCUUAGGCACAUAGGCUUUCAUAAGUAAGUGUAAGAACUUUAAUGCAACACAACUCAAUUUAGAAUAAUACAUUAUUUUUCAUCUGACACCACUAAAGGUGACAUUGCUACAGGAAAGAGCUGAAACACUGAUUCUUGCCUUAUUGCCCUGUUCAGUCUUCUGAAGACUGAUUUUAAUAAGAAGUGUAUCUGCAAAAAACACAGGUUGCUAUGCUAGCUGUCAGGGAAAGGGGAAAAGGGACAAGUCUUCUAAUAGCUCCUUUUACAGCUGAAGAGUAGCUGCUGGCUGAUGGGUGGAACACAGGGUCAAUGGAAGAAGCAUCCAUAUUAAAAACCAAAGAAAAAGCAGAUCAGCAAAUUAUUCGUGACACAUUUCUGCUGUAGGUGACAGGUAAGAAAACAGCACUGUGGAUUUCUGAUGACUGUAAAGCCUUGCCUUCCCAUCCCCAAGCCAGGCAUCCCAAUUGUGGUCAAAACAGGUAAGUCAUAAGUUUGUUUGUUUGCUUUCACACAGAUUAGCUUCAGGUGUUAGUUUCUGUACUUUGGAUGUUUCAAUUUUUAUUACACAAAUUAAAACACUUAAAUGUGCUGGCUGUCCAAAGCCCUCAGUACUGGAAAUCCAGACAAUGGUACCUCAGCUUGUACUCAAGUAUGAAAGUAUUCCACUUAAGAAAAUGUAAAUGAUCUCUCACUGAUGCCUCCCACAUUAUCCCACCUUUAUCUCAACAUGAAGUAUUCUAUCAGAGAGCCUGCAGGAAGAAAUCUAGACUUGCUGUCUGGAUUUUUCUCGCAGUAACAGUUUAAAUAGGUGAUGAAAAUGCAGUCUUAGAGGCCUGAUCCUGGAGAAGGCAUGACUUUCUCAACACAAAAUACUUAGGAAGAACUAUAGCUGUAUGGAGAACAUAAUUAAACCCCCCAACAUGUAUUUUCAAGCACAAUUUUGCGUCGCCCCAUAGUACGAAAGAUACAGAUUUAAUCUCUGCUCACUGGUGCUUUCAAACACGCAGACAGCAUCUCACAGUCAAACAGAUCUCAACAGACAUUACCUGCAUGGAUGUUACCAACUUACAGAAAUUGUAAUUAUGCUUUUCCUGAUGUUUUUAUUAGGUUGACUGGUUAAUACUUAUAACUUGCUCUUGAUUUUGUUCUACCGCUUGAAAUCAGCAACUCUGUUUCCUGUAAACAGCUUGCAAAGCAAACACAGAAAGCUACAUGAGGCUGUUUGCUUUUGCACUGGGAGCGGCAGAACAGCAAACAACGCUGAACACAGAAUGUUAACAGUCUCCCAGAAGUGGUUUCAGAACAAAUGGUAAAAAUGUACGCAGGCACAGAGAGCUGCGGUCACCUCUCAAAGAGAGGCCAUCCCUCACAUCACCUGCAGAAACACUGAGAAGAAAAUUGCUAAAAACAAUCCUUUAAAGUUAAGAGUAAUGGAAGCGGCCAGUGUCACACCAUUGAAAAUGUCCUACAUUACCCUUAACUGAAAGUGCAGACUGCUCGUAAUAAAAGGACAAUUUAUCCAGUUAUUUUUGUCAAAAAGCAAAUGAAGCCUUUAAGCAACGUUUUCUCUUUGUAGUUCAGUUUGUACUUAUAUUUUUGUCAGAAGUAUUACUCAUACUUUGGUGACAGUUUUACUUUUGUAGACUGAGCAAUAUCAUUUCAAUGCUAGCUAAAGGAGUACAAAACAAAGUGCUAAAUUUUUCAGAAAUUCAGAAUAUAUUCUCAGGAAAGUAUGGAACUUUUAGUACAUUCUUGUUCAUAGCAGAAAUGCUGAGUCGUGGCCUGAAGCAGUGAUGGAGCACCUGGUGGGAAGGCAGGGCAGCCCAGGGAGCUCAGGUGCAUGCAAUGCAAUGCAAUGCAAUGCACUGAAUGAUGGAAGGGUGGAACCAGGAUCCACCCCUUCCCC